ACUCAAAUGAAUUGACGGGGGCCCGCACAAGCAGCGGAGCGUGUGGUUUAAUUCGACGCAACGCGCAACACCUUACCAGGGAUUGACAUCCCCAGAAGCCGGCUGAAAGGCUGGUGUGCCCGCAAGGGAGCUGGGAGACAGGUGCUGCAUGGCUGUCGUCAGCUCGUGUCGUGAGAUGUUGGGUUAAGUCCCGCAACGAGCGCAACCCCCGUGGCUAGUUACGUGGUUGUCUAGCCAGACUGCCGGCAGCAAACCGGAGGAAGGUGGGGAUGAUGUCAAGUCAGCAUGGCCCUUACACCCUGGGCGACACACACGCUACAAUGGCCGGGACAGUGGGCAGCCAAGCGGUAACGCGGAGCCAAUCCCCCAAACCCGGUCUCAGUUCAGAUUGAGGGCUGCAACUCGCCCUCAUGAAGGCGGAGUUGCUAGUAACCGCAGAUCAGCAUUGCUGCGGUGAAUAUGUUCCCGGGCCUUGUACACACCGCCCGU
rnacentral:rRNA from 1 species